CCUACGGGAGGCAGCAGUGAGGAAUAUUGGUCAAUGGGCGAGAGCCUGAACCAGCCAAGUCGCGUGAGGGAGUACUGCCCUAUGGGUUGUAAACCUCUUUUGUCGGGGAGCAAAAGCCGGACGUGUCCGGCUGUGAGAGUACCCGAAGAAAAAGCAUCGGCUAACUCCGUGCCAGCAGCCGCGGUAAUACGGAGGAUGCGGGCGUUAUCCGGAUUUAUUGGGUUUAAAGGGAGCGUAGGUGGAUUGUUAAGUCAGUUGUGAAAGUUUGCGGCUCAACCGUAAAAUUGCAGUUGAAACUGGCAGGCUUGAGUACAGUAGAGGGGGGCGGAAUUCGUGGUGUAGCGGUGAAAUGCUUAGAUAGCACGAAGAACUCCGAUUGCGAAGGCAGCUCACUGGACUGCAACUGACACUGAGGCUCGAAAGUGUGGGUAUCAAACAGGAUUAGAUACCCUUGUAGUC
rnacentral:rRNA from 1 species